rnacentral:rRNA from 1 species
UACGGAGGCAGCAGUAGGGAAUCUUUCACAAUGGGCGAAAGCCUGAUGGAGCAACGCCGCGUGCAGGAUGACGGCCUUCGGGUUGUAAACUGCUUUUAUAAGCGAGAAAUAUGAUGGUAACUUAUGAAUAAGGACCGGCUAACUACGUGCCAGCAGCCGCGGUAAU